rnacentral:rRNA from 1 species
GACGAACGCUGGCGGCGUGCCUAAUACAUGCAAGUCGAACGAAGCUGUUUUAACUGGUGCUUGCACCGACUUAAACAACUGAGUGGCGAACGGGUGAGUAACACGUGGGUAACCUGCCCCAAAGCGGGGGAUAACAUUUGGAAACAGAUGCUAAUACAGCAUAACCACCGAAACCACAUGGUUUCUGUGUCAAAGAUGGUUUCGGCUAUCACUUUGGGAUGGAACCGCGGCGUAUUAGCUAGUUGGUAAGGUAAUGGCUUACCAAGGCAAUGAUACGUAGCCGAACUGAGAGGUUGAUCGGCCACAUUGGGACUGAGACACGGCCCAAACUCCUACGGGAGGCAGCAGUAGGGAAUCUUCCACAAUGGACGAAAGUCUGAUGGAGCAACGCCGCGUGAGUGAAGAAGGUUUUCGGAUCGUAAAACUCUGUUGUCAGAGAAGAACGUGUGCGAGAGUAACUGUUCGUGCAGUGACGGUAUCUGGCCAGAAAGCCACGGCUAACUACGUGCCAGCCGCCGCCGUAA